CCCGUCCUCCCCCGUACCCGUUUCCUCCCGCAGUCUUCUUCUUCCUCUCCCGAGUCCUGACCUACCCUACCCCCGCCCCGCCCUGCCCCUGCCCUUCCCAAGCAAGCUCCAAUCCCGGCCGAUGCGCCUCCAGCCUCCCCGCCCCGCUCCACGACCCCCGCGCCGCGCCCUCGAGCUAGCUCCCCGCAGCUUGCCAGCGCCCUCCGCCUCUCGCCACGCGCGUCGCGGCCAUCGGCCUCAUCGCGCGGGUCGCUUGCUGCCUCGACCCCACCCCGCUCGCAGCCUCGGCCGGGCGACCAUCGGUGAGCUUCAUGUAAUCCGGCGAUUGGAUGAGCUCAGCCGGCCUCAACGAAUUUCGGCUGCGCUGGUGCACGCGCGCUGCGCGCCGUCUUGAUCCGCCCCUGCUUCGAGCUCGGAGUUCGUAUUUCGGCCGGGCGGAUUUUAGGGUUCCAUGCUCGCGUUCCGAAUUGGGGUAUGUGCUGAUUAUCCCCUCGAUGUUUUAGCCGGCUUCGGAAUCUGGCAGGUGCUGGAAAGGCGAUGCGCACCCUCGUGUUCUUGCUACCCGUUAGGUGCAUUGGUGGCCGGCUGCUCUUUUCAGAUUUCAUGUUCGUCGCACACCUGUCUUGUUAAUCAAUGACCCGAGGAAGCUCUUUUUGCAGCGUAAAUAAGGUAUAGAUUUAUCAUUUCAAACGUCGUCAAGACAAGCUUUAACUUGUUAUCCAACAAACUUGUGAACACCAGAUGAUUUAACAGAAACAGAGGAUUACUUCGAGGGAAUAGAAGAAAUACUGGU